AAAAGAAUGUCAAAAGUGACGUGUUCUAGUUCUAGAAGGGAUGGGGAAAUUUAUGCAGCAUUCCAUCACUCAUGGUCACUUGAUAGUUUUCAAAUAUGGGAAAGACUCACUCUAUACUCAUGUAAAUAUAUUUGAUAAAAGUGCUUAUAUAGAUACAUUAUCCCUCAAGCAGUGAUGAAAUUUAAAAUCCAGAGAGUGAAUUCCAUCUUCAUCUUGCCCUACAGUCC
rnacentral:lncRNA from 1 species